rnacentral:piRNA from 1 species
UGUUGUAUUUUCGUUCAAUUU